rnacentral:rRNA from 1 species
UACGUAGGAGGCGAGCGUUGUCCGGAUUUACUGGGCGUAAAGCGCGUGUAGGCGGCUUGGUCAGUCUGCUGUGAAAGCUCUCGGCUUAACCGGGAGAGGUCGGUGGAUACUGCCAGGCUUGAGGACGGUAGAGGGGGGUGGAAUUCCCGGUGUAGUGGUGAAAUGCGUAGAGAUCGGGAGGAACACCUGUGGCGAAGGCGGCCCCCUGGGCCGCUCCUGACGCUGAGACGCGAAGGCCAGGGUAGCGAACGGG